CUCAGGAAGCAGAGUGUGGGGGCCUGUGCACCAUGGAUUGGGCUCCCCUUCUCCUCGCCCUCCUGGCUCACUGCACAGGUUCCUGGGCCCAGUUUGUGCUGACUCAGCCCCCCUCUGUGUCGGGGUCUCCGGGACAGAAGGCCGUCAUCUCCUGCACCCGCAGCAGCGGCAGCAUUGGGAACAACUAUGUGCACUGGUACCAGCAGCGCCCGGGCAGGGCCCCCACCUUGGUGAUCUACAGAGAUAACCAAAGACCCUCGGGGGUCCCCGAUCGGUUCUCUGGCUCCAUCGACAGCUCCUCCAAUGCCGCCCAGCUGACCAUCUCGGGGCUGCAGCCCGAGGACGAGGCCGACUACUACUGUCAGUCCUAUGGUGGUGGCUAG